UACUCCAGGCCCAGGGACCGCUCACCUGCGCGUUCUGCGUGGGGAUCUGCAGGAGCAAGGCCAGGUCGGAGUAGUCGAAGGUCUCGUCCAGGGCGAGCAGAGCCCCAUGCACCCCGCUUUCCGUGAGAUUCGUGGCGAAUUCCUUCAGGCCCAGCCCGGACACCCAACCCAUGACUCGCUCGUUGGACCACACCAUGACGUCUGGGAACGGAAGGGACCCUCAGCCGCGCUCCCCUAGUGCUCAGAGCAGGACAAUGACCAAUCUCUGCUUUGGACAAUGGGCCAAUCCAAAAUUAUCUCCUACACCGUGACAGAACAGUCUCAGCCUGGUCCAAGGACCCUCAGCGAGCGUCACCAUCAUGCAUGCGCUUGGCAGAACCCGAACCCACACCCAGCUUACUGAAGUCAGUAUUUACAUUUUCACAAGAUCCCCAGAGACCUGAACUAUGCAUUAAAUUUUGAAAAGCACUGGUC